AACGAACGCUGGCGGCAUGCCUAACACAUGCAAGUCGAACGAAGCCUUCGGGCUUAGUGGCGCACGGGUGCGUAACACGUGGGAAUCUGCCCUUCGGUUCGGAACAACAGUUAGAAAUGACUGCUAAUACCGGAUAAUGACGUAAGUCCAAAGACUUAUCGCCGAAGGAUGAGCCCGCGUAGGAUUAGGUAGUUGGUGGGGUAAUGGCUCACCAAGCCGACGAUCCUUAGCUGGUCUGAGAGGAUGAUCAGCCACACUGGGACUGAGACACGGCCCAGACUCCUACGGGAGGCAGCAGUGGGGAAUAUUGGACAAUGGGCGAAAGCCUGAUCCAGCAAUGCCGCGUGAGUGAUGAAGGCCUUAGGGUUGUAAAGCUCUUUUACCAGGGAUGAUAAUGACAGUACCUGGAGAAUAAGCUCCGGCUAACUCCGUGCCAGCAGCCGCAGUAAGAC
rnacentral:rRNA from 1 species